UACGGGGGGGGCAAGCGUUGUUCGGAAUUACUGGGCGUAAAGGGCUCGUAGGCGGCCAACUAAGUCAUACGUGAAAUCCCUCGGCUUAACCGGGGAACUGCGUCUGAUACUGGAUGGCUUGAGUUCGGGAGAGGGAUGCGGAAUUCCAGGUGUAGCGGUGAAAUGCGUAGAUAUCUGGAGGAACACCGGUGGCGAAGGCGGCAUCCUGGACCGGUAUUGACGCUGAGGCGCGAAAGCCAGGGGAGCAAACGGGG
rnacentral:rRNA from 1 species